UUCUUCCUGGACCUAAUUUCCUCAUGCGUCUUCUCCUCGGUUCAUACGACUACCUAUCUGCAGCGGAGAGACCGCUGCUCUUUCUUUCCUCCCCCUUUUCUUCCGUCGCUGGAUUUCCUUUCCAGGAAUCUGCUUGGUCAUGGAUGCUGCUGCAGGUCGUGGGGGAGGUCGCCCGGUUCCUGCACCGCCGCCUUUACGCCGGCUAAACUCUUAGCCGCGUCUUCAUCAUCUUAGCAGCUCGCCUGCUGUCAGCCAUACCCCGCCGUCUUCGCCGGUGCAUCCAUCAUACGCGUCGCCGGCUUUGCCUCCACUUCCUUUGCCUGUGCCUUCGGCGCCGCGUUUCCGCCGCGGCCUGGAUCAGCUGCUUCCUCGGCCGGCAAGCCGGGGCGGCCGAGAUUCUCGCGGCCAUCGGCGGGACUCCUCUGCUGCUCUUCCUGCCUCAGCUGUUGGUUCAGUUGGUGCUGCUGCGUCCGAUCGGCCAUGUUCUGGUUCUAGAUCUCCUGCUUUACCUUAUGUUGCUUCUUUGUCGGCCAUACAACUGCCUGGAGGAGGUGUAGGCCGGGGAUCAGGUCGUCGCCGCGGCCGGUCGUUCUCCCUUUCUGCUUCUCCAUGUGCACGGCACCGACGCCGUUCCGAGGAUACUCCUUCCGAUGUUGCUGUUACUCUUACCGGUUCUGCUGUCCGUCUUCCCGGGCCUGAUAUACCUGCUGUCCACCUUUUGGUUUUCCUAUGGAUCCACACCAUACUGGGUCUUCUACGGAUAUUUCUUUCCGCCGAUCUCUUGCCUCUCCUUCAAUGUUAGAUGACAUACAAUCUUGGAGGCGGGAGAUAAGUUUAGGCAAGCGUCCUGUUGAGGUUCCAGACGUCGCUGUUGCUGGAUAUUAACAUAGGUGACAAUGCAAGAAACAUCAGUCAGAGAUAUCAAACCUCGAGGAUCUCCGAGGCGUGUUGUUGUACGCAUUGCCCGGUCAGGGGAGAACCGGAAUAGAGACAACCACCUCUAUGAGAUUGGUUUCAUGUUUGUUGAUCAUUUGGUACAUCUUCCACACCAACAUUUGUUAUCUAUCUUCUUUCUGUUUCCUGCACAUGAGACAUAUGCACUUAGUAAACGCUUAAGAUUCAGUUAUUUACCAACUUAAAUAUGCCUUUCAAUAAUUAUACCACUUACAGGACUGUGAUGUAAAAUCAUACAAACAUGUUUACAUACCUUUUCUUAUUUCAAUACAUGUAUACAAACUAAGUAGCACUAAACUUCGCAGGGUAACAAGUACAAGCUAAACAUAAUGGUUACCAAUUUGGACGAUCAAAUCAACUGGUGGUUCUAUUCUUGCAAAUUAUGCUGGAGAAAAAUGGUUCAGUACGGAACUUCUCGCAGAUGCCCUACCUGCCAUACAUCAGGCGAGCACUACAGGUUGAAGGUCAGUGCAAUAGAUGGAGCCAAAAACUGAAGACCUACCCGUCACCGGCCGCUUCACAUUCUUUGGCAACUGCGCCGAGGCUCUAGCGGGCAAGGAAGUAGAUCUUCUUGCGCCACUCACUUAAGGUCAUCCUAAUUAUGUCCCUCCUGCCAUUAUUGCCGCGGUAGGCAAGAAGUGCACAAUCACUUGGGAAGUCGACCAGGAAACCUAUGAUGCUAAUCCUGGAGUAGUGUUCCUUACCGUCUCAAAGGCGCAGCUACUGACUGACUCAGUGCAAGUGGUGGAACCUUCUACCCAAAUCAGCUCUGCAAUAGCUGAUAAGACGAUUAUGCCAAUUGACCACCACCCAGAAGGCAGCUCCUCACAGGCAACACCUCCUAAAGACGUACUUGAAUCAAUCGAUGCUGAAGAGGAUGAGGACAAAGGCAAAGAAAACAAAGAUAAAAAAAUGAAGAGCAGCGACCAUAAAAAGAGACCUGCAAAGGUACUGUUCAAAGGAAAGAAGUAAACUUUCUCUUUUUAGACUACCGUCGCAUGACAAAACGAGUGCAAGCACACUAUCAGGGCGACCAAGCAAAUAAGUGAAGUAGUCACCUACGGGUGCAGCUUCUUACCAACCUUCUACCUUCACCUCCUAAGUUUAUGUCACCUAAUAUUACUCCAGAUCAAUACCCUGCAAUCUCUUAGAGUUGCAUACCUAAGACUGUAUAUGUAGAAGUUUGCUUUUCAGACCUCCAGUACUACUAUCUAUGUAUAAUUAUCCAGUAUGUAAACCUAAUUAUCCAGUAUGUAAACCUUUGUUCGUUAUUAUGUGCCUUAGAACUUAAUGGGCUAGCAGCUUACUAACUA